GAAAGCAUGGGGAGCAAACAUGAUUAGAUACCCUGGUAGUCCAUGCCAUAAACGAUGACUGUUCGCCCUUGGUCUACGCGGAUCAGGGGCCCAGCCAACGCGUGAAACACUCCGCC
rnacentral:rRNA from 1 species